CAGCAGCCACGGUAAUACGGAGGGAGCUAGCGUUAUUCGGAAUUACUGGGCGUAAAGCGCACGUAGGCGGCUUUGUAAGUAAGAGGUGAGAGCCCAGAGCUCAACUCUGGAAUUGCCUUUUAGACUGCAUCGCUUGAAUCAUGGAGAGGUCAGUGGAAUUCCGAGUGUAGAGGUGAAAUUCGUAGAUAUUCGGAAGAACACCAGUGGCGAAGGCGGCUGACUGGACAUGUAUUGACGCUGAGGUGCGAAAGCGUGGGGAGCAAACAGGAUUAGAUACCCCAGUAGUCCCUGUCUCUUAUAC
rnacentral:rRNA from 1 species